rnacentral:misc_RNA from 1 species
CCUUGUCGUUGAUGCAUGUCCAUUUUACUCUCGGCUACCGAGACAUAACUGAUUCCCGUCUUGUUCUGAAAUUGAAUUAACUGUAGCUGCAAUAUUAUUAGUUCGUAUUCGAGCCAUUUUCUUUUCAUUCAGUCGUAAUCUUCCCGGCAGUUGUUAAUUUUAUUAUUUAUAUAUUCAAUUUGGCUGUUUUCACCUAUUUGCUACCGCUACAAAAAUAGAAUGAGACCCACUUCUGUUUAUGUUGGAGGUUUGAGUGAAGAUGUCCAGAAAGAAGAUCUUGAAAGAGAAUUUGGUAAAUUUGGUGACUUGGAAAAGGUUUGGGUUGCUAGAAAUCCUCCUGGGUUUGCUUUUAUUGAAUUCAAGGAUGAUCAAGAUGCUAACGAAGCCAUCAAAGAAAUGAAUGGAGCUUCAAUCAAUGGAUCCGAAAUAAGAGUUGAUAUUUCCAGAGGAAGAGGUGGAAGGAGAGGUGGCGGUGGUGGAGGAUUCCGAAGAGGCGGCGGAGGAAGGGAUGGUGGAUUCGGUAGGCGAGGUGGCCGAGGAGGUUAUGAUUCUGGAUUUAGAAGUGGUGGUGGUGGUGGAGGUGGAUUCAGCAGAGGAGGAAGAGGUGGUGGAUCCCGUUAUGGGGGAGACCGUGGCGGCGGUUAUGAUAGGCCCUCAUAUGGUGGCGGAAGUGACUACAGAGGCUCUGGAGGUUACAGAAGCCGUUCGCCAAUGGGUCAGAGUUCAUUGAUAAAUAUUGGAGUCUCCACUGAGGAAUUGUAUGAAACAUACGAUGAUACAAAUCUUUAAUUUAUUUCAUUAGCAUGGGGCCAAUGAAGUUAGAAUGGAGCAUUUCAUAUGCAUUCUAGUCCAUCUAUUUGUGUGUGUGAUUUGUGUUCCAAGUUUUUCUCAAAAAAGUGUAAAAUGUGAAAUAUAACCAGACCUUAACACUUGAAAAUUGGAUUCUUUCUGUGACUAGUUCUGUAUCAAAAAAAUGUCAUAUGUAACAGCAGACAAAAGUGUGCAAGCAGGGGUGUCCGAUGACAAGGAGCAUGUGGCCCAAGAAGUGAGAAGGGAGAACUCUGGGAGCAAAAGAAAUAUUUCCCACCUUAUACAUUUUGACUAGCAAAUUUGCCAGACAAGAUGCCUGGCUUUUAUACCUUUCGGUCAAAUCAGUAACAUCUACUAAGUUGAAAACUAUCUUUUGUUUUAAAAAUUUAAAAAAACAAAAAUAGAUUUUCGUUUUUUGCUCUAACAGGUUUACCACUCCACAGAGAGAACAGAGAAAACCUGGAAAAUAGAGGGAUUUUAAAAAUCACCUAAAAUAAUAAGGGAAAUGCAGGAAAAUUUGAGUUUUUCCGGAUGAAUUGGGAAAAUACAGGGAAUUUUAUUUCUUAUUUUCCUCUUUUAAAAAAUGGUGAUCACUCAAAGCACUAUCUAUGGGAUAUUUAAGGAUGAUAUUUCAGGUAUACUGAACCAUUUAAUUUGCUAUAGCAUUAUUUGUUUUAAGUGUGUUGAGCUGUUUCUUAUUUCUUUAAAUUUUUCUAGCGAUCAAAUAAAAUUAGUAUAGUUUGCCUAAUGCAGAUCACACACAAGAGUACAGCGAUUGUGGGUUUCUUGUUAAUAUAAUACUGUAUAAUAUGUGCAGGGAAAACUCAGUGAAUUUUUUUUCUCCAGAUUUGAGUGGCAAUCCUGUAUUAAAUCUGGCUUUCUAUUAUCAAAAGAAAUAUAUUUCUGUUCUUUGAUUGUGAGAAACUAGAUAAUCUGGUACAAUGUCAAAUACCAUGUUCAUUUUUUGAACUCUAUUUAUAAUGUCUAAUGUGCAAAAUUUAUGACGUUUUAUGCCCAAAUAUUUAUGUGUAAACAAUAUCAAAAUAUUUUUGUAUUGUAAUUUUUAUAACAAUAAAAAAAAACAUAUAUUAAUUAUAAAAUA